rnacentral:rRNA from 1 species
GGACUCGGGGGGAAGUAUGCUCGCAAGAGUGAAACUUAAAGAAAUUGACGGAAAGGCACCACCAGAUGUGGAGCCUGCGGCUUAAUUUGACUCAACACGGGAAAACUUACCAGGUCCAGACAUAGUAAGGAUUGACAGAUUGAAGUUCUUUCUUGAUUCUAUGCAUGGUGGUGCAUGGCCGUUCUUAGUUGGUGGAGUGAUUUGUCUGGUUAAUUCCGAUAACGAACGAGACCCCAGCCAUCUAAAUAGCAGUCGCUAACCCGUUAGCUAUAUCCUUAUGGAUAGAUCCGCUUCUUAGAGGGACAAUCUGUGCCUAGCAGAUGGAAGUUUGAGGCAAUAACAGGUCAGUGAUGCCCUUAGAUGCUCUGGGCUGCACGCGCGCUACAAUGGUGCACUCAGCGAGUUCAUCCUUGCCUGAGAAGGCUGGGUAAUCUUGAAAGUGCAUCCAAGUUGGGAUAGAUGAUUGCAAUUUUCCAUCUUGAACAAGGAAUAUCUAGUAAACGCAAGUCAUCAACUUGCAUUGAUUACGUCCCUGCCCUUUGUACACACCGCCCGUCGCUUCUACCGAUUGAAUAAUCCGGUGAACUGAGUGGAUGGAGGCGAAUUCAUUUUCUUAGUUUAUUCGCACCCAGAAGCUUCGUGAACCUUAUUAUUUAGAGGAACGAGAAGUCGUACAAGGUCUCCGUAUGAUGGGCGAAUUCCACAUUGGG